AUUUCGAAGAAAGCGGCUACAGGAAUUCUGACUUUCCAAGUGGGAGAAGGUGACAAAAAAAUGGAGAUAACAAAUAGCUGCAGCUGAGGCGGAGGCUUACUGGUCGGUUCUCACCCACAGACUCCAGACUGGGACAUGUCUGCUCAGAAGCAUCUCUGAGUGGUUCCAGGAUUUCUCUGCAGCUGUUUUAUCUUCAUCACGAGGAUUUGCAGUUGAACUUGAACCCAGUUCCCGCUCUCCCCUCGCGCUGCCUGAUUUCACACCGUCCGCCCCUCCCCGCCGCAGCACCAUGCCCGUCUUUGUGAAGCUGUCUUCCUUGACUUUUUGCAUCCCCCGUCUGGCCUGGCGCAACCUCUCCCUUUUACCGCCGCCACCUCCUUCCCCCCUCCGUUCAGCCAUUCUUCACUUCUGGGGCCGGGAGGGGCUCCGGGAGACGGCCUGCGGGGACUCGCAAUACAGAAUGCUAAUCAUCCCCUCGGCGACACUUCCCACGAUUUUCCUCUCAGACGUGGGCUUUUGUUUCGUUAUUGAUUCUAUCGCAAUCAGACAGUUCCCGCAACUUUCCUGCCGUCUGGGGCCGGAUCCGUAACGCCGCUCGGAGUGCGAGACGCACUGUUCAGAUGGCGCUCUUUUUAACGACCUCUGGCAUUGUCUCUAUUAAACAACAGCUGUAAUUAUAUCUGUUCAAACCUUUUGUUACUUGGGCCAAAAUUGUCGACUCAAAAGUAAAACUCAUA